AGUAGAUGAUCUCUCAGUUCUACAAUUCUGUCUCAGAGAUGGCGGCUGAAUUUCAGACCAAGGUUCUGCUCUGUGUGGUGUUAGAGACAAGGCUCGGCUGACCAUUGCUACUCAGAAGGAGGACUUGCAGGAGACUGAGGGCAGGAUGGACGCUGCCCAGCCUGAACAAUCGAUGGACCUCAGACACACGACAAGGUGAAUUCCGACCAGGGGAGGGGACAUCUCAGGACUUUGUUUUCAAACAUUUAUAACUCUCGAGAGUUUCAAGAGUGAAGUCACCGUGUUUCCUUUGCUGAGAAACGUGCUCCUUGUCUUCCUGCCAUGUUGUCCCUGAUGGGGUUAUACUAGAAGUCCACAGCCCAGGCGGAACCCUGAGAAGACGUUUGGGGAGAUGCGGGACAGAGAGAUCAAGCAACUUUCCCAAGGUCACACAGGAAGUCAAUGGCAGUGUUGAGAUCUGAGCCCCAGUCCCAUGUCUGAUACCCGCAAGAGCAGCCUUCCUCUCCUUUAUAACCUCAGAGAAACCAGAGGCUGAUUAUCUGCACAGGAGGUCGUUUUUGCAUGUUAAAGGAAAACACUGAUAGGACUCACUGAAUGCCUGGACUAACAGAGAAAGAAGUGAAUCACUGUCAGUGUUUUAGGGGUAUCGCUGUCAUGACUG